rnacentral:rRNA from 1 species
GGCUAAUACGGUUGAACCGCAUGGUUCAAACAUAAAAGGUGGCUUCGGCUACCACUUACAGAUGGACCCGCGGCGCAUUAGCUAGUUGGUGAGGUAACGGCUCACCAAGGCGACGAUGCGUAGCCGACCUGAGAGGGUGAUCGGCCACACUGGGACUGAGACACGGCCCAGACUCCUACGGGAGGCAGCAGUAGGGAAUCUUCCGCAAUGGACGAAAGUCUGACGGAGCAACGCCGCGUGAGUGAUGAAGGUUUUCGGAUCGUAAAGCUCUGUUGUUAGGGAAGAACAAGUGCCGUUCAAAUAGGGCGGCACCUUGACGGUACCUAACCAGAAAGCCACGGCUAACUACGUGCCAGCAGCCGCGGUAAUACGUAGGUGGCAAGCGUUGUCCGGAAUUAUUGGGCGUAAAGGGCUCGCAGGCGGUUUCUUAAGUCUGAUGUGAAAGCCCCCGGCUCAACCGGGGAGGGUCAUUGGAAACUGGGGAACUUGAGUGCAGAAGAGGAGAGUGGAAUUCCACGUGUAGCGGUGAAAUGCGUAGAGAUGUGGAGGAACACCAGUGGCGAAGGCGACUCUCUGGUCUGUAACUGACGCUGAGGAGCGAAAGCGUGGGGAGCGAACAGGAUUAGAUACCCUGGUAGUCCACGCCGUAAACGAUGAGUGCUAAGUGUUAGGGGGUUUCCGCCCCUUAGUGCUGCAGCUAACGCAUUAAGCAACUCCGCCUGGGGAGUACGGUCCGCAAGACUGAACUCAAAGGAAUUGACGGGGCCCGCACAAGGCGGUGGAGCAUGUGUUUAAUUCGAAGCAACCCGAGACCUUAACAGGUCUGACAUCCUCUUGACAAUCCUAA